GAGGUAGAAGCAGCGGGUGCUGCCGACAGUCUGCAAAACUGUUUGUAUUUGGAGUUCGACUCUCCUCUAUCUCUC
rnacentral:tRNA from 1 species